rnacentral:ncRNA from 1 species
GUGCUUUGAGGUGGUCAAUUUCGUGGCAGCCACACGCCGACGGUAUUGAUAGGGGAAACCCGAGAGAUGCAGGGGAACGCCACGCCUGCCAAAGCGC